AGAGUUUGAUCCUGGCUCAGGGUGAACGCUGGCGGUAUGCCUAAGACAUGCAAGUCGCACGGACCGGUUUCGGCUGGUCAGUGGCGGACGGGUGAGUAACACGUGGGAGACGUGCCCUCAAGUGGGGGAAAACCAGGGGAAACCCUGGCUAAUCCCCCAUGUGAACACUCGUUUGGGCGGGUGUUUAAAGCUUCGGCGCUUGAGGAUCGGCCCGCGGUGCAUCAGGUAGUUGGUGGGGUAAUGGCCCACCAAGCCGACGACGCAUAGCUGGUCUGAGAGGACGACCAGCCACAGGAGCACUGAGACACGGGCUCCACUCCUACGGGAGGCAGCAGUUAGGAAUCUUCGGCAAUGGGCGAAAGCCUGACCGAGCGAUACCGCUUGAAGGAUGAAGCCCUUCGGGGUGUAAACUUCUGAACUCGGGACGAUGAUGACGGUACCGAGGUAAUAGCACCGGCUAACUCCGUGCCAGCAGCCGCGGUAAUACGGAGGGUGCGAGCGUUACCCGGAUUUACUGGGCGUAAAGGGCGUGUAGGCGGUCUUUCAAGUCCGAUGCUAAAGACUGGGGCUCAACCCCAGGGGUGCGUUGGAUACUGUGAGGCUAGACGGUCGGAGGGGGUAGCGGAAUUUCCGGAGUAGCGGUGAAAUGCGCAGAUACCGGAAGGAACGCCAAUAGCGAACGCAGCUACCUGGACGACUUGUGACGCUGAGGCGCGAAAGCGUGGGGAGCAAACCGGAUUAGAUACCCGGGUAGUCCACGCCCUAAACCAUGAGUGCUGGGUGUCCGGCUUCUGCUGGGUGCCGUAGCUAACGCGCUAAGCACUCCGCCUGGGAAGUACGCACGCAAGUGUGAAACUCAAAGGAAUUGACGGGGGCCCGCACAAGCGGUGGAGCAUGUGGUUUAAUUCGAAGCGACGCG
rnacentral:rRNA from 1 species